GAAUGAAAGUGCUGUUGUAUCUGGUUGGGGUCAAACAACUUUCAAAGGUCCACAAUCGAAUCAUUUGCAGUAUUACAAUAUUUUUCCGACUUCAUUUAUCUGCUUGAAACCAAGUCAAAGUACUCCAUGUCAUGGCGACUCUGGUGGUCCAUUGGCAAUUCGGAAUGAAGA